rnacentral:rRNA from 16 species
CCUGAUACCCAUAGAGCUGUGGUACCACCUGAAUCCAUGCCGAACUCAGAAGUGAAACGCAGCAUCGCCGAUGGUAGUGUGAGGUCUCCUCAUGUGAGAGUAGGACAGUAUCAGGU